CCUCCACCUAGGAGCAGCAGGGACAGGUCGCCACUUGCAGGAAGCUAGCUAAGUUCAAUCUGGGACGUGCAGCGAGGGUGAGAGGAAGAUGCCAUGUACCAACCAGGUGUAAUAGAGCGUGGAGCCCAGUGAAGGUGAAGACAGCAUGUGGCCCCAUGAGGGAGCUCUUGAUGGAACAAGGGAAGACCCAGAUGAACAGUCAGUGACAGAUGAACAGUGUACCCCUCCCCCCACAUUCUUCCAAAAGAGAGGAAAAAACAACCCAGUGACUAUCUUUUUAAGCAGAGACUGUCCGGUUUGGCCAAUGUACAUGGCAGAGUGGCAUGGCUGGCACAUGAUGACAUAUGUCACAUUGGUAGACGUGCAGGUGAACGAGCCCCUGAUGGUGCCCAAGUAGCAGAGUGAGUAAGGUGCCUCUUUACCCCUCCUUCCCUCCCCGAGCCAGGGUGAGAGACAAACUCUGCAGAUGCACCUCUGAACUCUGGGUCUGCACUGACCAAGGAGAGCAACUGUGAGUGAGGUGCAGAGAAGGGUCGGGCACA